UACGUAGGGUCCGAGCGUUGUCCGGAGUUACUGGGCGUAAAGCGCGCGCAGGCGGCUUGUUAAGUCUGGCGUGAAAGCCCCCCGGCUCAACCGGGGGAGGGUCGUCGGAGACUGGGGAAGCUUGAGGGCGGUAGGGGGCUGGUGGAAUUCCCCGGUGUAGUGGUGAAAUGCGUAGAGAUCGGGAGGAACACCUGUGGCGAAGGCGGCCAGCUGGGCCGACCCUGACGCUGAGGCGCGAAGGCGUGGGGGAGCGAACGGG
rnacentral:rRNA from 1 species